GGUUCGAUUUUACGAGAAAGAGCGACAAUGGAUGCGGAACCUUCGUCUUCACCGUUCAAGGAUGCUUAAAGUCCUCCUAGAUAAUAACUAGUGGAUGGCUUGUUGUAUUGUAUCAUUUUAUUUGGAUCUUUAAUUUAAAUAUGUGUAUUUGUAUCUAUAUCUAAACUUUCAGCAUUAUUUGCACUACAACGUUUGACAUGUAAUCCAUUUUCAUGUGUAAUCCAUUUUCGUGCGUAGU
rnacentral:lncRNA from 1 species